rnacentral:lncRNA from 1 species
CGUGGCGCCUCAGCCACAAUCGUAAUCACCUUUAAUCUCUUGCUCAAAAUAACCCAAAGUCAAGCCAGAGGGAGCCUCGCUAACCACCAAGGCGGUCCUGCGGCCCCGCGCAGCCCUGAGGGUGUCCAGUCCUCCACGCGUGGAGGAGAAUCCGGCCUCCAAACACAAUCUCCAGGGCCCACCGGAUCGGCCUCCCCUCCUUCUCACUCCCAGUCCCCUGGUGCACGCCCCCUUCCUGGCUGAAGAACCUGCACCAGCCGCCCCUCCGCCUGGGAAGCUCCAGCUCCCUCCCGUCAUUCACUCCGAGACGCAGCAGCGUUGCCCCAAGAGCCCUCCCUGCUCUGCACCCCGAAUUCACUCUCUGCACCCCGAAUUCACUCUCAGCCCCCACCUAGUUUAAAUCCUGGCCCUUCUCUCUCCCUGAUGUUCUGCUUGGUUAUUUACUUUUAAUUCAUGUUGGAGCUCCUCCUGCCACUGCAAGAGCAGGAGCUGUGUGUCCUGGUCACUGCUGUGGCAUCCCAGGGCCGGCGCGGUGCCCAGCAGCCAGGACUGGACAGACUCGGGCCACGCUGCGCACGGGCUGGGAUGCGCCGGCUCUGCUUCCUCUUCCGUUGAAUGGGAGUAAAGACCACUCCUCCCAGGGAGCUUGUGGUUUCUCACAAA